CCUACGGGAGGCAGCAGUGAGGAAUAUUGGUCAAUGGACGGGAGUCUGAACCAGCCAAGUAGCGUGAAGGAUGACAGCCCUAUGGGUUGUAAACUUCUUUUAUAAGGGAAUAAAGUGCCGCACGUGUGCGUUUUUGUAUGUACUUUAUGAAUAAGGAUCGGCUAAUUCCGUGCCAGCAGCCGCGGUAAUACGGAAGAUCCGAGCGUUAUCCGGAUUUAUUGGGUUUAAAGGGAGCGUAGGGGGGUCUUUAAGUCAGUGGUAAAAGUUUGCGGCUCAACGGUAAAGUUCAGUUGAUACUGGGGGUCUUGAGUAUAGGUGAGGUAGGUGGAAUUCGUGGUGUAGCGGUGAAAUGCUUAGAUAUCACGAAGAACCCCGAUUGCGAAGGCAGUGUACUAAACUGAGACUGACGUUGAGGCUCGAAAGUGUGGGUAUCAAACAGGAUUAGAUACCCCAGUAGUC
rnacentral:rRNA from 1 species